UGAGGAAUAUUGGUCAAUGGGCGAGAGCCUGAACCAGCCAAGUCGCGUGAAGGAAGACAGUCCUAAGGAUUGUAAACUUCUUUUAUACGGGAAUAACGGGCGAUACGAGUAUUGCAUUGAAUGUACCGUAAGAAUAAGCAUCGGCUAACUCCGUGCCAGCAGCCGCGGUAAUACGGAGGAUGCGAGCGUUAUCCGGAUUUAUUGGGUUUAAAGGGUGCGUAGGUUGUUCGGUAAGUCAGCGGUGAAACCUGAGCGCUCAACGUUCAGCCUGCCGUUGAGACUGCCAGGCUUGAGUUCAGUGGCGGCAGGCGGAAUUCGUGGUGUAGCGGUGAAAUGCAUAGAUAUCACAAGGAACUCCGAUUGCGAAGGCAGCUUGCCAUACAGCGACUGACACUGAAGCACGAAGGCGUGGGUAUCAAACAGG
rnacentral:rRNA from 1 species